GCUAAAAAUCCAGCCCGUUAAAUAUCGUAUGAGCCCACCCCCUUACCUAAUUAAACCAAAACAUUUUAAUAUUUUAGUACAGGAGAUAAAAAAACUAAUUGGAGCAAUAAAAAUAGUACCGCAAGGGAAAGAUGAAAUAAUAAUGAAAUAAACCCUAAGCACAAAAAAGUAGAGAUUUUACCUCGUACCUUUUGCAUCAUGGUUUAACUAGUCUAAUCAAGCAUAAAGCAUUAUAGUUUGACCCCCCGAAACUAAGUGAGCUACUUCAGGGCAGCUUUAUGAGCUAACCCGUCUCUGUUGCAAAAGAGUGGGAUGACCUUCAAGUAGGGGUGAUAGACCUAACGAACUUAGUGAUAGCUGGUUACUCAAGAAAAGGAUUUUAGUCCAACCUAAAGCUUUUCUUAUUUAUAAAAAUUUUUAUUAAACUUUAGAGCAAUUCAAAUAAGGUACAGCCUAUUUGAAACAGGAUACAACCUCAACUGAUGGGUUUUUAUCAACUUAUUAAUUAAUCAAGUGGGCCCAAAAGCAGCCACCUUUUAAAAAGCGUCAAAGCUUAAUUAAACAAUAAAACCAAUUCCUUUAAUUUCCCCUAACCCGCUACUAAUAUUGAGUAAUUCUAUAUCUUUAUAGAACCUAUUAUGUUAAAACUAGUAACAAGAAGCUAAACCUUCUCUUAGAUGUGUGUGUGAAUCAGAGAGGAUAAACCACUGAUAAUUAACGCCCAUGAACCCACAUUAGUAACCUCCUCAAGAAAACCCUAAUCAUUCCUCGCGUUAACCUAACACAAGAACAUCCCAAGAAAGAUUAAAAGAGAAAGAAGGAACUCGGCAAACUUUAACCCCGCCUGUUUACCAAAAACAUCGCCUCUUGAAUAAAAAUAAGAGGUCUGGCCUGCCCAGUGACCACAGUUCAACGGCCGCGGUAUCCUAACCGUGCGAAGGUAGCGUAAUCACUUGUUCUUUAAAUGAGGACUAGUAUGAAUGGCAUCACGAGGGUUAUACUGUCUCCUUUUUCUAAUCAGUGAAACUAUUUUCCCCGUGAAGAAACGGGGAUAUUUUUAUAAGACGAGAAGACCCUAUGGAGCUUUAAAUUUUAUUUUAAUUGCUCUCUUAUAUAGCCUGUUCUGACUUCUUAUUCUUAACCGAGCAUGAUAAUAAUAAAUUUUAGGUUGGGGUGACCGCGGAGCAUAAAAAAACCUCCGCAUAGGAUAGGCCUAAAUCUUGAACUAAGAGCUACAACUCCACGUACUAACAUAUUAACAUCCAUUGACCCAAUAUUUUUUGAUCAACGAACCAAGUUACCCUAGGGAUAACAGCGCAAUCUACUUUGAGAGCUCAUAUCGACAAGUAGGUUUACGACCUCGAUGUUGGAUCAGGGUAUCCCAGUGGUGCAGCCGCUACUAAUGGUUCGUUUGUUCAACGAUUAAAACCCU
rnacentral:rRNA from 1 species